rnacentral:rRNA from 1 species
GAUGAACGCUGGCGGCGUGCUUAAUACAUGCAAGUCGAACGAAGAGCUUUUGUAGCAAUACAGAGGUUUCUUAGUGGCGAACGGGUGCGUAACGCGUUGGUGACCUGCCCCAAAGUGUGGAAUAACAGUUCGAAAGGACUGCUAAUACCGCAUGUGGUCAUCGGGUUUAGAAGCCGAUGACUAAAGCAGUAAUGCGCUUUGGGAGGGACCUGCGUCCCAUCAGCUAGUUGGUGAGGUAAUGGCCCACCAAGGCUACGACGGGUAGGGGACCUGAGAGGGUGGUCCCCCA